CGUAACUACGUCAGUCUCCUCUCCAGCGUCCUAAACAGACUCAGCCUGGACACCGAGGCCAACACGAACGCACAGAGACGCACACGCAGUGUUCUCAUUAGCACAGUGUGUGAGCUCGAGAGCAGUGGACAGGCAUCAAUGGUGGACAACAUCUGCAUUCUCAAAAACCUUUUAGAAGUCACAACUCAGGUGACAUUAGCGAGUGUAAGACGAGUGACGGUUCACGUUCAGCUCAUCUCAGAGCGGUGUUCAGAGUCCGGUGCUCCGGCCCAGUACUACCUGGAGCAGAAGACACUCCACACCCUGCUGGCUCUGCUCUCACACAGCCUGCAAGCUGCUGGUCACGACUUCACACCAGAAAUAUCCACCGGUGCUGACGUUACAUUAGAAUCAGAACCACCUGAUGAAACACAGAACUCAUCCGGUGU
rnacentral:lncRNA from 1 species